AGAGGAGGGCCAAUGUGCAAAUGUGGCAGCUCAGAGUGGGGAACAAAAUCCCUAGCCGAAGCACUUGAUCCCUUUGGGCCUGGCAACACCUCUCCUUCCCCCAUCUCCUUCUCCACCACCGACCGCCGCCACGGCGAGGCCGGUGUGGUGGUGCGCCUCCGCCACCCAUCCAUCUAUCCAUCACCGGUGCCCCACACCACCAGCGCCCAUCUCGCCUGCCGUACCCACGUGCCUCCACCUGCUGCUGAUUCUCCUUGCCACUCCCUUCGCCUACCUCGCUGUUGUUCUUCUUCCCGAUGUCCUCCCUGCUACCCUUCUGCUUCUCCCCGGCUUCCCCUCUCAUCACGUCCCUGCUGCUGCACUUCUUCUCUCCCAACGCUACUGCUGCUACUACGCUCUGCUGCUCCCUCUUGCUAACCUGUUGCUACUUCUUGCUUUACCCUACUGCUGCUCUACUUCUCUCAUCACAACUACUCCUCCUCCUCUCUAACCCCUGCUGCCUCUAUCUCUUCUCUGAACCUCCUUUGUUGCUGCCUCUUCUCUCCUCUGCUGUUGGCUUGAGAUUUUUGUAAGCGGAGAUGUGUUAAACUUUGUAAGGUUCAGAUUUUAAGUAGUGCUUGAAACUUGUUCAGUUUCAGACUUGUGCUUGAUUAAUAGUACUUAUUUUGUUCAUUUCAGAUUACUGGAAUUAACUCCCCCUGUUUUCAUAUGUGUUAUAUGUGUACUGUAGCGCUUGUGUUAACUUUGUUCAUGUGAAAACAUAUAUGUUUGUGUUGUGAUAUAAUUUUGUCCCUAUCAUAUUAGCUUGUUUCUUUCCUUCUGUCAUUACUAGUUAUAUAUGUGUUUGUGUUUGUGUUGUGAGAGUUGUACUGUUACAUUGUGACUCUCAUUUAGAAUGUAUGAGUACUAGAUAUAUAUGUCAUAUAUAUUCUGUUCAUGUUUAAUAGUUAUAUGUGUUCUUGUCUAGCAGCUUUCCCUAAUAUUUGUGCUAGUGUUUUAGAUUCUCGGGUAUAAUGAAAAUACCAAAAAGAUAUUGAGUAAAAUCUGAAUUUCCCUUUGUUGUUUGUCGUUUUCUUUGCCAACGAUCUUCGGGAACAACCUGGUUAGUUUAGGUUUUAUUUUCUGCAAUCAUCUCUUAAAAUUGUGUUACCUAGCUUUAGUCGAGCACCGCCGCUGAUUUUCCUAGUCCUUGAGGAGAACACGACAUCCGUAGUUUUGGGCGUAAAAACCCCACUAUACUCACAACCGAUCAUUUUUGCGUCGUUGCCGGGGACUAGCGUCGAGUGACCGUGCUAGGCUAUAGACUAGGUUUUUCUUCUUUUCCUAGUUUGUGCUAUAUAUGUGAUAUAUCUCUAACUCCUAACCUUUGUUCUAGUUUAUUUCCUCUUUGUUUUCUUUUCCUUUUUGCAGGCUAGAACCAUCUUCUCGGUUAUGGCCUACUAUUCAGAUCACCAUGGAUAUGCGAGCAACACUACAAAUAGCACGGAAAGUAUUCAAGAACUGAUAAGUAAGAUUUCCCAUCGAUUAGAUGAUUUAGCUUGGCAGCGAGAAGUAGUUUUUGAGGAUAGGCCUAGCUCUUAUGAUCCUUAUUCUAGAGGCCAUCCUUAUGUUGCUCCUACCUGCCAUAUUUGUGGAUUUCAGGGCCAUUCGCCCCCUGAAUGUCAGUGUGGUUACUCUUGCCCUCUAGAUUGUUUUGGCAUGAGCUUUGCUCAAGAGCAUAGCUCAUACCAAAACAAUUACUCACAUGGGUGGCCUGAAAACCCGAAUAUGUCAUAUAGGAGCAACAACCCUGAGAUCUCAUCAUUUCCCUCUAGUUAUCCAAUGCAAGGAUUUAGGAAUGAAGAGGAGAGCAACAAUUAUGCUCCACAACAAUUUUAUUCUGCUCCUAUUCAUAUACCUCAGCACCAGGAGAUGUUGCCAAUGGAGUUAAAUGGUCCUCCAUUUGGUCAACCAACACCUUCUACACAAGUGCCCACACAAGAUGACUUUGCUGAUAUAGACAAGCUCACAUUGCUUAGUCUCGAGUUCACUUGGAGUGCUGAAGAUGAUCCAAUUAGGCUGGUGAUACUAGAUGAAAUGAAGAAGAUCAAGAGUGGGAAUGAGCUAGUGGAAGAAGUAAGGAAGAUUGAGAAGAACAUCAAUGCUGGCAGCACUAUUUCUUCGCAGCUAGAGCUGAGUAUUUCUGGGAUAUCCCUUGAUACAUGUGAGGUCCCAACACCUUCACAUUCAGCUGAGCAAUAUAGCGAGAGUCCAGAGGAAGAGAUACUUCAGAUCCAAGAAGAAAUUCUCAAAGCCAAGGCACAAGAUGAUCCAGAGCUCGAAUACCCAAAUGAACAAGUUGAAGAUCCAAUGUCUACUACUUCCGAAGAAGUAAAAGAAGCUGUUGUAGAUGAAGAUGAAGAACCUGAGAUUCAUUUGCCUAUUGUCAUACAAGAGAGUGAUGUGUCAGGUUCAUUCAAUCCUCUUAAUGACAUGUCCCAUUAUGUUUUGUUUGAUUCUACCUUGCUUUACAUGAUGCCAUCACUUAAGGUAGAUUUGAGGAAGUGUUUGCUUGGAUAUGAUGAUACUUAUACCGUUGAUGGCAUUGCUCAUACUAAUGAUGAUCACACUUAUUUUCCUCAUGCCAAACCUAUGCUUAAUGAUAAAUAUCAUCUGAAUGCUAGUAUUGAGCUUGUUGAUUCCUAUCAUACUCGUCAUGUUCUAUAUUCCUAUGUUUAUAUAAUUGGAUACUCGAUUGGCGACUUAGAGGGCAUCGACCCUAUCACUCGUAGUUGUUGUUUGUGUGAGUCCUAUUUCAGGUUUUUGCUUGUGCACGAAUCAAUAUAUGUUGACCAGGUUCGAGGUGACAUCCCUUGGGAUCCCGGUGGAGUCAGAGCAUGGCGAUGAGGAGAAGCAAAUGGGCACACAUAUGGAAGAGAGGAGCUGGAGCAUGCACGAGGAAGCAAAAGGAGAGGAGUCGCAAUGCAAGAGGAUGUGAGAUGAUCGAGUGAGUGCUACAUGAUCAAAACCCGGUGAGCUUUUUCAUGUCCCCAAUCUGAAUAUAUCAUCCAUUGAUACAUGCUGAAAUCAAUUGCUAUUUGGGUUGCUUGAGCCAUUUCUUAAACAUUGUCCCACUGAAUUUUACCUUUAACAUAUGGUGCUUGAUGAGAAUAUGCGAACCGAUUGUUGAAUGCCUUGUAAACUAGUGAUCGACACCCCAUUUGCUUUGCUGAAAGUAGUGAAAGCUAUUAGUUUUGAGUGCUCAAAUCCCUAGUGCAGUAGUAAACUUAAUCAUUUUCUGUCUUUACCUUGAUACCCUUAGAUCAUUAAGUGUUAGAUGAUGAGUUCGUGUCUAUUGUGUUCCCAUUGAGAGCAAUCACUUUACCACUAUGGACUAGUAUGCUAUGUUCCCUGGAUCAGUAGCAUGCGAACUAGACAUGGAGAAGUGAUGAUUCCUGUUUUUGUGCUUAUGCGUUGUUCAUUUAAGAUAAGUAAUAAUGAAUAAAUAAGUAUGAAUACCUACAGUAGCAUGUCAUGUUCCCUGGAUCGGUGGCAUGUGAAAUCGGGUUAGCUUGGGCAGUAAUUAAUAAUACAAAUUGUAAUUGUCAAACCAGGUGUAUACCAUGUUCUCUGGAUCGGUGGUUUGUUCCUUUGGGGAGACAAAAAAAACUAAUAAUUGGUCGAGCCGGGUGUAUACCAUGUUCUCAGGAUCGGUGGUACGUUCCUUUGGUGAGAUCGAUAUAAUAUUAUCAUUGCUUUAUUUCUAUAAAUAAGUGAUCCGAUCACAAGUUUAUGUUCUUUUUGUUCUCGGGAUCAUGCUCUCUUUAGGAACCUUUGGCACAAUCAUCAUUUGAACUAGUUGAUCUUCUUUUAUCAUUGUAAAAGUUUAAAAUGGUCAAGUCUACUAGUAUCCUACCACUUUGAAGCACUCCUAACCAUUAAUUUUCACUAGUGAAGUCCAAAGCAUGCACUGUUUAGAGAUCUACUUCACUUGGCAAUCUCUAGUCAGCUCACUAUUCACAUUCUUGCUCUUGUCAUAUGCCUUUGCUUGAGGACAAGCAAAAGUUUAUGUGUGGGGGAACUUGAUAAGCACAUUUCAUAUAUACAAUUUUGGCAUAGAAAUAUAUUAUUUGUUGAGUUUUCACAAUCAAUUCUUGCUAUGAAUUAUUGCAUAUUUGAAUGAAAAUCAUAUAAAGGGAUCAUUUACUUGUUACUUGUUCCUUUUGCAGAAAAGUGCGCAAAGCCACUAUAAUCGUCAAGAUUUCUACUAUGUGGCUAACGAGAAGAGAGAAGGGCAUGAAAGAAAUGCGUCAAGGACCUGAGCGUGAAGGAAAGAAGUAAUCUAGGGGAGCAAACUAAAAGAAGAGGAGGAUCUUCUUGGGCAGAAAUGAAGAUAAGAGGAGGGCCAAUGUGCAAAUGUGGCAGCUCAGAGUGGGGAACAAAAUCCCUAGCCGCAAAACUUGAUCCCUUUGGGCCUGGCAACACCUCUUCUUCCCCCAUCUCCUCCUCCACCACCGGCCGCCGCCACGGCCAGCCGGUGUGGUGGUGCACCUCCGCCACCCAUCCAUCUAUCCAUCACCGACGCCCCUCACCAGCAGCGCCCAUCUCGCGUGCCGUACCUGCAUGCCUCCACCUGUUGCUGAUUCUCCUUGCUGCUCCCUACGCCUACCUCGCUGUUGUUCUUCUUCCCGACGUCCUCCCUGCCGCACUUCUGCUUCUCCUCUGCUUCCCCUCUCCUCACGUCCCUGCUGCUGCACUUCUUCUCUCCCAAUGCUACUGCUGCUACUGCGCUCUGCUGCUUCCUCUUGCUAACCUGCUGCUACUUCUUCUCUUUACCCUACUGCUGCUCUACUUCUCUCAUCACAACUGCUGCUCCUCCUCUGUAACCCCUGCUGCCUCUAUCUCUUCUCUGAACCUCCUUUGUUGCUGCCUCUUCUCUCCUCUGCUAUUGGCUUGAGAUUUUUGUAAGCUGAGAUGUGUUAAACUUUGUAAGGUUCAGAUUUUAAGUAGUGCUUUGAACUUGUUCAGUUUCAGACUUGUGCUUGAUUAAUAGUACUUAUUUUGUUCAUCUCAGAGUACUAGAAUUAACUCCCCCUAUUUGCAUAUGUGUGAUAUGUGUCCUGUAGCGCUUGUGUUAACUUUGUUCAUGUGAAAACAUAUAUGUUUGUGUUGUGAUAUAAUUUUGUCCGUAUCAUAUUAGCUUGUUUCUUUCCUUCUGUCAGUGCUAGUUAUAUAUGUGUUUGUGUUUGUGUUGUGAGAGUUGUACUGUUACAUUGUGACUCUCAUUUAGAAUGUAUGAGUACUAGCUAUAUAUGUCAUAUAUAUUCUGUUCAUGUUUAAUAGUUAUAUGUGUUCUUGUCUAGCAGCUU
rnacentral:lncRNA from 1 species